AAAAGUGACCCCAGAGAGCCCCCUCACUCUUCUGUCAAGGGAGGAUACAGCAAGAAGAAAGCUGUAAGCCAGGAAGUGGACCCUUACUGAACAAUAAACCUACUGGCACCUGAUCUUGGAGUUCCCAGCCUCCAGAACUAGAUGCAAGUGUUCUCUUCAUUCCCUGUACCGAAGCUGGGCACUACACAGUGAUAUAUAACCAACCACACUCACACAUUGCACAGGUCUCCAGCACUCCCACUAGACUCAACGAGGGCAGAAGGCAUUCCUCCUUCAAAACCUAGCAUUGGUGAAAGGGACUGGUCGUUGUGCUCUCUGGACAUAUAUAUAUUAUUUUAUUUUCACCCACGUUAUUUAUCUUGGAGAUGUCUUGUACUUAAACAAAGGUCUUCGGGAGGACAGCAUGUCUUCGACUCCUGCCAAGUCAACAGGUGAAAGCAGUAAAGUAAAUCCUAUACCUAGUGAUUAUCUCUCCUCCAGCCUGAUGUACAUAUGAUUAAUUCUCCACUGUUCCGCCCGCUUUGCAUCUGGUGACACUUCUUAUAAGGACACAUGUGCCCUGGAAGGAGGCCUACUAAAAAAAUAAUAAAUAGCCGCUCACAUCCUA